GAUGAACGCUAGCGGCAGGCUUAACACAUGCAAGUCGAGGGGUAUAGUUCUUCGGAAUUAGAGACCGGCGCACGGGUGCGUAACGCGUAUGCAAUCUACCUUUCACAGAGGGAUAGCCCAGAGAAAUUUGGAUUAAUACCUCAUAGUAUUUUCGAAUCGCAUGGUUUGAUUAUUAAAGUUCCAACGGUAAAAGAUGAGUAUGCGUCCCAUUAGCUAGAUGGUAAGGUAACGGCUUACCAUGGCAAUGAUGGUAGGGGUCCUGAGAGGGAGAUCCCCCACACUGGUACUGAGACACGGACCAGACUCCUACGGGAGGCAGCAGUGAGGAAUAUUGGACAAUGGGCGAAAGCCUGAUCCAGCAAUGCCGCGUGAGUGAUGAAGGCCCUUGG
rnacentral:rRNA from 1 species